CUCAGUGGCUUCUGGCUGUGGAAGCAGAGGCUGGGAGUUUGAUUCCCCCACUGGGAUUCCUGGGAGAAAAGCCAGCCUGGGUGGCCUUGGGCCAGCUGCACCGUCCCAGGGCAAUAAUACAUCUCAACUGAUUGGGGAAGGCUGUACCCAAAUGGCCUGGGUAGUGGCUUGAAAUGAUGGAUAAGCACAGGGGUUGGGAGUUCGAUUCCCCACUGGGCCUCCUUGACAGGGUCUGGACUUUGUGAUCUAGGGUCCCUUUCAUCUCUGCUAUUCUAAAUUUAUUAUAGAUUUCUAUUCAGCCUAUCCUGUCUGUGAAUGACGGGCACUUCAGAGUCCUUGAUCUCCCUUCUUCUAGCGUUUCAUCUUUAAAUCAGAUUCAGGCUGGAACGCCCUUCAAAUCGAAGACCUCCUCCCAUUUUUGAUGACUGUCCUCCAUCCACAAAGGACAUGUGGCCACUGAAGCAAGAAUCAGGAAGAUCAUCUCCUGUGGGAUCCAACCUCAAUCGAAUGGUAUCCAAUCAAGACGUACCAGCACUUAAGGCAACGUCCAGGAAUACCAUGAUUGCUUCGCUUCCAGGGCCGCCGCUCUGAGUCUCUGGCUCAGCCACCUCGGCCAUAACAUGCAGGGGCCUCUCAAGCCGGUUUUGAGUUUCUUCACCUCCUCGCCAUUGUUCCCACCUCUCGAGGCCUCCUCCCCCCCUCCCUGUUCAGUCUCCGGCAGCUGCUUUUGGUUACUGAACACACUGUAAGCCCAUCCGAUCCACUCAGGUCGCCUUUGUUCCCUUCUCCAAGGUAAGUCGCUGUGUGGGCGGUGAAAAUGCCACAUUUUCAGGCUGUGUGGUUUGAGCAUUCCUUGUGCACCAGCUCUUUGUUGUUCGUCAGUCGUUAAGUUGUGUCCGACUCUUCGUGACCCCAUGGACCAGAGCACGCCAGGCCCUCCUAUCUUCCACUGCCUCCCGGAUUUGGGUCAAAUUCAUGUUGGUCGUUUCAAUGACCCUGUCCAUCCAUAUCGUCCUCUGUCGUUCCCUUCUCC
rnacentral:lncRNA from 1 species